GCCAUCGUGGCUCAAUGGUAGGGCGUCGCUUUCCUACUGAAUUGUGUAGUAGGCGAAGAUUGCGGGUUCGAGUCCCGUCGUUGGUA